GACAGAGGGUGCAAACGUUGCUCGGAAUCACUGGGCGUAAAGGGCGCGUAGGCGGCCUGUUAAGUCGAACGUGAAAUCCCCGGGCUCAACCCGGGAACUGCGUCCGAUACUGGCAGGCUUGAAUUCGGGAGAGGGAUGUGGAAUUCCAGGUGUAGCGGUGAAAUGCGUAGAUAUCUGGAGGAACACCGGUGGCGAAGGCGGCAUCCUGGACCGAUAUUGACGCUGAUGCGCGAAAGCCAGGGGAGCAAACGGG
rnacentral:rRNA from 1 species